rnacentral:lncRNA from 1 species
UUUCCUUUCAUUCAUAGAAUCAUAGAAUAAUAGAAUCACCAAGGUUGGAAAAGACCCACAGGAUCAUCCAGUCCAACCAUUCGCCCAUCACCAAUGGUUCUCGCUAAACCACGUCCCUCAACACAACAUCCAAAUUCCCUUUGAACACCACCAGGGUUGGUGACUCCACUACCUCUCUGGGCAGCCCAUUCCAGUGCCUGACCACCCUUUCAGAGAAGUAGGAUUUCCUAACAUCCAGCCUGAACCUUCCCUGGCGCAACUUGAAGCCAUUCCCUCUAGUCCUAUCGCUAGUCACAUGAGAGAAGAGGCUGACUGCCAGCUCACUACAACCUCCCUUCAGGUAGUUACAGAGAGCAAUAAGGUCUCCCCUGAGCCUCCUCUUCUCUAGACUGAACAAUCCCAGCUCCUUCAGCUGCUCCUCAUAAGGCCUGUGCUCCAGACCCCUCACCAGCUUGGUUGCCCUCCUCUGGACAUGCUCCAGGGCCUCAAUGUCUUUCUCACAGUGAGGGGCCCAAAACUGGACACAGUACUGAAGGUGCGGCCUCACCAGUGCUGAGUACAGGGGGACAAUUACUUCCCUGUUCCUGCUGGCCACACUAUUUCUGAUACAAGCCAGGAUGCCAUUGGCCUUCUUGGCCACCUGGGCACACUGCCGGCUCAUGUUCAGUCUAGCGUCAAUCAACACCCCCAGGUCCAUUUCCUCUACACAGUCUCCCAGCCACUCUGCCCCAAGCCUGUAGCGUUGCCUGGGGUUAUUGUGGCCAAAGUGCAGGACCCGGCAUUUGGUCUUGUUGAAUCCCAUCCCAUUGGCUUCAACCCAGAUAUCCAACCUAUCCAGAUCAAUCUGUACAUACAAGUACAUUUAAUGCCUAUUUGCAUAUAUGAAUGUGAAUGGAAACAGUGUACAAGUAUUUCUAUUUAUUAUAAAAAUUAGUUUAUAUUCAACUCUAUUUUUUCUUGAAAACAUCAUACAUUAGACUUAAGUUGCUGUAGACAUAGUGACAAUAGUUUUUUUGUUUUUUUUUUCCAAAUGAGAAUUUUCAUUUAUACCAAUAUUUUAGGAAAUCUGAGAAAUACUUUGUCUCCAAAUAAUCAUUUUUCUUAUACUGUUGAAGAAAUCAAGCUUUUUUUCUAGUGAAACAAACUAAACCCUUG